rnacentral:rRNA from 9 species
UUAAGCGACUAAGCGUACACGGUGGAUGCCCUGGCAGUCAGAGGCGAUGAAGGACGUGCUAAUCUGCGAUAAGCGUCGGUGAGGUGAUAUGAACCGUUAUAACCGGCGAUUUCCGAAUGGGGAAACCCAGUGUGUUUCGACACACUAUCAUUAACUGAAUCCAUAGGUUAAUGAGGCGAACCGGGGGAACUGAAACAUCUAAGUACCCCGAGGAAAAGAAAUCAACCGAGAUUCCCCCAGUAGCGGCGAGCGAACGGGGAGCAGCCCAGAGCCUGAAUCAGUGUGUGUGUUAGUGGAAGCGUCUGGAAAGGCGCGCGAUACAGGGUGACAGCCCCGUACACAAAAAUGCACAUGCUGUGAGCUCGAUGAGUAGGGCGGGACACGUGGUAUCCUGUCUGAAUAUGGGGGGACCAUCCUCCAAGGCUAAAUACUCCUGACUGACCGAUAGUGAACCAGUACCGUGAGGGAAAGGCGAAAAGAACCCCGGCGAGGGGAGUGAAAAAGAACCUGAAACCGUGUACGUACAAGCAGUGGGAGCCUCUUUAUGGGGUGACUGCGUACCUUUUGUAUAAUGGGUCAGCGACUUAUAUUCUGUAGCAAGGUUAACCGAAUAGGGGAGCCGAAGGGAAACCGAGUCUUAACUGGGCGUUAAGUUGCAGGGUAUAGACCCGAAACCCGGUGAUCUAGCCAUGGGCAGGUUGAAGGUUGGGUAACACUAACUGGAGGACCGAACCGACUAAUGUUGAAAAAUUAGCGGAUGACUUGUGGCUGGGGGUGAAAGGCCAAUCAAACCGGGAGAUAGCUGGUUCUCCCCGAAAGCUAUUUAGGUAGCGCCUCGUGAAUUCAUCUCCGGGGGUAGAGCACUGUUUCGGCAAGGGGGUCAUCCCGACUUACCAACCCGAUGCAAACUGCGAAUACCGGAGAAUGUUAUCACGGGAGACACACGGCGGGUGCUAACGUCCGUCGUGAAGAGGGAAACAACCCAGACCGCCAGCUAAGGUCCCAAAGUCAUGGUUAAGUGGGAAACGAUGUGGGAAGGCCCAGACAGCCAGGAUGUUGGCUUAGAAGCAGCCAUCAUUUAAAGAAAGCGUAAUAGCUCACUGGUCGAGUCGGCCUGCGCGGAAGAUGUAACGGGGCUAAACCAUGCACCGAAGCUGCGGCAGCGACGCUUAUGCGUUGUUGGGUAGGGGAGCGUUCUGUAAGCCUGCGAAGGUGUGCUGUGAGGUAUGCUGGAGGUAUCAGAAGUGCGAAUGCUGACAUAAGUAACGAUAAAGCGGGUGAAAAGCCCGCUCGCCGGAAGACCAAGGGUUCCUGUCCAACGUUAAUCGGGGCAGGGUGAGUCGACCCCUAAGGCGAGGCCGAAAGGCGUAGUCGAUGGGAAACAGGUUAAUAUUCCUGUACUUGGUGUUACUGCGAAGGGGGGACGGAGAAGGCUAUGUUGGCCGGGCGACGGUUGUCCCGGUUUAAGCGUGUAGGCUGAUUUUCCAGGCAAAUCCGGAAAAUCAAGGCUGAGGCGUGAUGACGAGGCACUACGGUGCUGAAGCAACAAAUGCCCUGCUUCCAGGAAAAGCCUCUAAGCAUCAGGUAACAUCAAAUCGUACCCCAAACCGACACAGGUGGUCAGGUAGAGAAUACCAAGGCGCUUGAGAGAACUCGGGUGAAGGAACUAGGCAAAAUGGUGCCGUAACUUCGGGAGAAGGCACGCUGAUAUGUAGGUGAAGCGACUUGCUCGUGGAGCUGAAAUCAGUCGAAGAUACCAGCUGGCUGCAACUGUUUAUUAAAAACACAGCACUGUGCAAACACGAAAGUGGACGUAUACGGUGUGACGCCUGCCCGGUGCCGGAAGGUUAAUUGAUGGGGUUAGCGGUAACGCGAAGCUCUUGAUCGAAGCCCCGGUAAACGGCGGCCGUAACUAUAACGGUCCUAAGGUAGCGAAAUUCCUUGUCGGGUAAGUUCCGACCUGCACGAAUGGCGUAAUGAUGGCCAGGCUGUCUCCACCCGAGACUCAGUGAAAUUGAACUCGCUGUGAAGAUGCAGUGUACCCGCGGCAAGACGGAAAGACCCCGUGAACCUUUACUAUAGCUUGACACUGAACAUUGAGCCUUGAUGUGUAGGAUAGGUGGGAGGCUUUGAAGUGUGGACGCCAGUCUGCAUGGAGCCGGCCUUGAAAUACCACCCUUUAAUGUUUGAUGUUCUAACGUUGGCCCCUGAUCGGGGUUGCGGACAGUGUCUGGUGGGUAGUUUGACUGGGGCGGUCUCCUCCUAAAGAGUAACGGAGGAGCACGAAGGUUGGCUAAUCCUGGUCGGACAUCAGGAGGUUAGUGCAAUGGCAUAAGCCAGCUUGACUGCGAGCGUGACGGCGCGAGCAGGUGCGAAAGCAGGUCAUAGUGAUCCGGUGGUUCUGAAUGGAAGGGCCAUCGCUCAACGGAUAAAAGGUACUCCGGGGAUAACAGGCUGAUACCGCCCAAGAGUUCAUAUCGACGGCGGUGUUUGGCACCUCGAUGUCGGCUCAUCACAUCCUGGGGCUGAAGUAGGUCCCAAGGGUAUGGCUGUUCGCCAUUUAAAGUGGUACGCGAGCUGGGUUUAGAACGUCGUGAGACAGUUCGGUCCCUAUCUGCCGUGGGCGCUGGAGAACUGAGGGGGGCUGCUCCUAGUACGAGAGGACCGGAGUGGACGCAUCACUGGUGUUCGGGUUGUCAUGCCAAUGGCACUGCCCGGUAGCUAAAUGCGGAAGAGAUAAGUGCUGAAAGCAUCUAAGCACGAAACUUGCCCCGAGAUGAGUUCUCCCUGAGACUUAGAGUCUCCUGAAGGAACGUUGAAGACGACGACGUUGAUAGGCCGGGUGUGUAAGCGCAGCGAUGCGUUGAGCUAACCGGUACUAAUGAACCGUGAGGCUUAACCUU